rnacentral:lncRNA from 1 species
CCCGGAGUUCAAUGAAAACUAUUUACAUCUAGUAAUAUACAUGGGUCAAAUUAGGAAUCUUAGUGCAAUGCCAAGUACAUUAAGAAUAUUUUUGUAGCAUAAAAAUAAAUGUUAUAAGUACUAACAGUAAAUUUUUGUCUUCAGUUUUCGUUUUAGGUCAUCUUACUUCACAGAAAGAUUCCAUGAUGUUGGAUUCUCUCUCUCUCCCCUUCUGUGUUGUACGGGCAUACAUCAUUCUUGCAAUUUGCAAUACAUAUAGCUCACAAAGUCUGAUAUUGAGCAACUGGAUGUUAAUAUUCUAUUUUAAAGCUCUGCCAUCCACCAUCCAUAAAUGUUCUUUUCCCCAUGAGAGUCUGCUCACUGACUUAACUGAACAAAUGAUAGAAAAUCAUCCAGUGUGGUAUAUUUCUCCUUGUGCAAUGAAAGGAAAAGGUUCUGUAUCCAGUAUCCCAAAGCCACUCCAAGAAUCAUGCUCUGAAAGAAUCCUGAGCCCAGGCCAGCACUAGCUUUUCUCAUCUGCUUUUUAAAAUCUCCUGUUACAUAGUUGUCUUGUAAGUACCUUAUGACUCAUCAUAUGCACUAAAGAAAUAUUCAGUGACUAAUCAAAAGUACUCAUUUAAACUUAAUUGCAUAGAU